rnacentral:rRNA from 1 species
UACGUAGGUGGCAAGCGUUGUCCGGAUUUACUGGGCGUAAAGAGCGCGCAGGCGGUCGUUCAAGUCGCGUGUGAAAGCCCCCGGCUCAACUGGGGAGGGUCACGCGAUACUGAUCGACUCGAAGGCAGGAGAGGGAAGUGGAAUUCCCGGUGUAGCGGUGAAAUGCGUAGAGAUCGGGAGGAAUACCGAUGGCGAAAGCAACCGUCUGGGCCUGAACUGACACUGAGACACGAAAGCUAGGGGAGCAAACAGG